UGCAUUACCGGUCCCCGUACGAUCACCGAAGUUAAGCAAAUUUGAGCCUAGUCAGUACCUGGAUUGGUAACCGUUCGUAAAUACCAUGUGCUGU